rnacentral:rRNA from 3 species
GUAGGAUAGGUGGGAGGCUUUGAAGUGUGGACGCCAGUCUGCAUGGAGCCGACCUUGAAAUACCACCCUUUAAUGUUUGAUGUUCUAACGUGGACCCGUGAUCCGGGUUGCGGACAGUGUCUGGUGGGUAGUUUGACUGGGGCGGUCUCCUCCUAAAGAGUAACGGAGGAGCACGAAGGUUGGCUAAUCCUGGUCGGACAUCAGGAGGUUAGUGCAAUGGCAUAAGCCAGCUUGACUGCGAGCGUGACGGCGCGAGCAGGUGCGAAAGCAGGUCAUAGUGAUCCGGUGGUUCUGAAUGGAAGGGCCAUCGCUCAACGGAUAAAAGGUACUCCGGGGAUAACAGGCUGAUACCGCCCAAGAGUUCAUAUCGACGGCGGUGUUUGGCACCUCGAUGUCGGCUCAUCACAUCCUGGGGCUGAAGUAGGUCCCAAGGGUAUGGCUGUUCGCCAUUUAAAGUGGUACGCGAGCUGGGUUUAGAACGUCGUGAGACAGUUCGGUCCCUAUCUGCCGUGGGCGCUGGAGAACUGAGGGGGGCUGCUCCUAGUACGAGAGGACCGGAGUGGACGCAUCACUGGUGUUCGGGUUGUCAUGCCAAUGGCACUGCCCGGUAGCUAAAUGCGGAAGAGAUAAGUGCUGAAAGCAUCUAAGCACGAAACUUGCCCCGA